GCCGCGGUAACCUGACCGUGCGAAGGUAGCAUAAUAAUUUGUCUUUUAAUUGGGGGCUGGUAUGAACGGCUGGAUGAGGGGCCAAUUGUCUCGUAACUAAGAUUAAAAUUUUACUUUUAAGUGAAAAGGCUUAAAUUCUAUUAAGGGAAGAUAAGACCCUAUAAAACUUCAUAUAAGGGGGUUAUGCUUUGUUUCAUAGGUUGAAAAUAGAGAUAAUCUGACUUAUAUUUUGCUGGGGCGGCAGUAAUAUAAACUUACCUGUUAUUUAUAAUAAGUUAGUGAUAACUAAUAAAUGAUCUUUUUUUAAGGAUUAUAAGAACAAGUUACUUUAGGGAUAACAGCGUAAUUUUCUUUGAGAGAUCUAAUCGACAGGAGUAGUUGCGACCUCGAUGUUGAAUUAAAAUUUCUAUCUGGUGUAGAAGCUAGGUUAGUAAGUCUGUUCGACUUUUGAAAUU
rnacentral:rRNA from 1 species